GACGAACGCUGGCGGCGUGCUUAACACAUGCAAGUCGAGCGAUGAAGUUCCUUCGGGAAUGGAUUAGCGGCGGACGGGUGAGUAACACGUGGGUAACCUGCCUCAUAGAGGGGAAUAGCCUUCCGAAAGGAAGAUUAAUACCGCAUAAGAUUGUAGUUUCGCAGGAAACAGCAAUUAAAGGAGCAAUCCACUAUGAGAUGGACCCGCGUCGCAUUAGCUAGUUGGUGAGGUAACGGCUCACCAAGGCGACGAUGCGUAGCCGACCUGAGAGGGUGAUCGGCCACAUUGGGACUGAGACACGGCCCAGACUCCUACGGGAGGCAGCAGUGGGGAAUAUUGCACAAUGGGGGAAACCCUGAUGCAGCAACGCCGCGUGAGUGAUGACGGUCUUCGGAUUGUAAAACUCUGUCUUCAGGGACGAUAAUGACGGUACCUGAGGAGGAAGCCACGGCUAACUACGUGCCAGCCGCCGCGGUAACAC
rnacentral:rRNA from 1 species